rnacentral:rRNA from 1 species
GCAGCCGAGCGGUAUUGUUUCUUCGGAAAUGAGAGAGCGGCGUACGGGUGCGGAACACGUGUGCAACCUGCCUUUAUCUGGGGGAUAGCCUUUCGAAAGGAAGAUUAAUACCCCAUAAUAUAUUGAAUGGCAUCAUUCGAUAUUGAAAACUCCGGUGGAUAGAGAUGGGCACGCGCAAGAUUAGAUAGUUGGUGAGGUAACGGCUCACCAAGUCUGCGAUCUUUAGGGGGCCUGAGAGGGUGAUCCCCCACACUGGUACUGAGACACGGACCAGACUCCUACGGGAGGCAGCAGUGAGGAAUAUUGGACAAUGGGUGAGAGCCUGAUCCAGCCAUCCCGCGUGAAGGACGACGGCCCUAUGGGUUGUAAACUUCUUUUGUAUAGGGAUAAACCUAGAUACGUGUAUCUAGCUGAAGGUACUAUACGAAUAAGCACCGGCUAACUCCGUGCCAGCAGCCGCGGUAAUACGGAGGGUGCAAGCGUUAUCCGGAUUUAUUGGGUUUAAAGGGUCCGUAGGCGGAUCUGUAAGUCAGUGGUGAAAUCUCACAGCUUAACUGUGAAACUGCCAUUGAUACUGCANGUCUUGAGUGUUGUUGAAGUAGCUGGAAUAAGUAGUGUAGCGGUGAAAUGCAUAGAUAUUACUUAGAACACCAAUUGCGAAGGCAGGUUUACUAAAGCACACUGACGCUGAUGGA